rnacentral:lncRNA from 1 species
GGAACACAUCCUCCCAUCAGUCCAAGGCUGAGCAGCAACCGCAAGACUUCACUUGCAGAGAUUUGCCUGCAGGUCCCCCACCUGGAGCUCCCUGAAGAGGAUGUAACGGAGUUGGUCCUAGGAUAUUUCUUAGCACCAGCUGUCUUAGCCCCCCACUUUCAAAGGCUGGCUGGGGACCCUUGUGGGCACUGAGAUACCCUGGAGAAGAGGCCUAGAGAAGAUGAGCUGGGUGGCAAUGGUCUUCUCCAGGAUCCAAGAGUUGACUCAAUCCUAACCCUAACUGGUGGUCUUGAGGAAGGAGAUGCAGGUGUGAUCUCUAGCCUGG